CCCUUAGAUGUUCUGGGCCGCACGCGUGCUACACUGAGUGGAUCAGCGGGUCAGGUUGCGCGAAAGCGUUUCCUAAUCUUUAAAUCCGCUCGUGAUGGGGAUUGACGGUUGCAAUUUUCUGUCAUGAACGAGGAAUACCUUGUAAGCGCGGGUCAUCAUCCCGCGCUGAAUACGUCCCUGCCCUUUGUACACACCGCCCGUCGCUCCUACCGAUUGAAUGAUCCGAUGAAUAUCAUGGAUUGAGGAUGCAAGUAGGUUCACCUAUCUUCAUCUUCGAGAAGUGAAGUAAAUCUUAUCAUUUAGAGGAAGGAGAAGUCGUAACA
rnacentral:rRNA from 1 species